UCCCCAUGACCAUCAGGGCAGCAGCAGCUCGGGAUAUGAGUCAUGUACUCACAUGAUCGCCCACUGAAGCUAAGCAGGGCUGUGCCCGGUCAGUACCUGAAUGGGAGUCCACAUGGGAAAGCUAGGCUGCAGCUGGAA
rnacentral:rRNA from 1 species